rnacentral:lncRNA from 1 species
UUAAAAAUAUAUUUGGUCACCGACCGUCCCUAGAGCAAGCGACAAAUGGCUUGGUGGUUGGUACCUGAGACCCAAGUUCGAAUCCUAGCUGAUUCACAUUUCUAGCUAAGUUUAUUUCUAAAUGAAAUAAACGAAACAGGUAGCGUGCUACCUAUCUCUCAAAAUAUAUAUAUAUAUAUAUAUAUAUUGGGUCAAUGUAACAUUUCUUAGCACAAAUUUCAUUUCAUGUUCGCGGGAACCUUUUGUUGAAUGUAAAUAUUAAAAGUAUCAUUCUUUGCCAGCUUAAAUUUUCAGAAAAUAACCAUUUUUUUGGCAUUAAUUAUCAUAAUAUUAGAGUAAGAGG